GUUGUGUGCUCCACUUUUGCCAACUUUUCUCAUUACAUGAGGCUUUAUACAAGGCAUCCUGGACCUCACUCUCCACCCUACCCCCAUGCUCACUGGGGUCACAGUGUCAGCCUCAGGUCAACCAGUUUCUGCCACCAGAACGGAGAAAAGAUGGAGGAGGGGCAGUAGAGACUGGACUGCUAUUGGAAAUGAUGAAGCCUCGCUGCAAAUGUGUCAGCCAUGCUAGCCUUCUACCCUCACCCACCAAGUGUCUUUUCUCCACCCCCAUCCCGGGGCAAGGGGCACGGAGGCGGCAGAGGAGGCCCAGUAUGACUGGGACUUUCAGCACCAGUCAGUGGUUGUAUGAGGACAAAUCCCAC
rnacentral:lncRNA from 1 species